rnacentral:rRNA from 1 species
GCUAAAAACCUAGCUCAAAUUUACGCAAAUGCCACAACCAAACAACUGCAAUCAAACAAAACAUUUUUAAAUUUUUAGUAAAGGCGAUUGAAAAAUACCUAGAAGCUAUAACAAUAGUACCGCAAGGGAAAAGUGAAAUAAAAGUGAAAUAACUUUAAAGCAAGACUAAGCAGAGAUUUAACCUCGUACCUUUUGCAUCAUGGUCUAGCUAGUUCAACCAAGCAAAACGCAAUUGUAGUUUGACACCCCGAAACUAGGUGAGCUACUUCAAAACAGCCUUUAAGGGCCAACCCGUCUCUGUUGCAAAAGAGUGGGAAGAUUUUCAAGUAGAGGUGAUAGACCUACCGAACCUAGAGAUAGCUGGUUAUUCAGGAAAAGGAUUUAAGUCCUACCUUAAGUUUUUUUGUACUACAAAAUAUGCCAACAAACUUAAGAGCUAUUCAAAUAAGGUACAGCCUAUUUGAAACAGGAAACAACCUUAAACACAGGGUAAUGAUACUAUAAACGUGACCAAGUGGGCCUAAAAGCAGCCAACUUUUAAACAGCGUUAAAGCUUCAUCACUUUAUUUAACUAAUAACCUCAAUAUUACAAAACCCUUUACCACUACUGAAUGACUCCAUAACUAUAUGGAGAACACUAUGCUAGAACUAGUAACAAGAAGAAGACCUCCUCCAAAAUGUAAGUGUAAGCCAAAAUGAACACCUCACUGGCACUUAUCGUAUCUGAACUUAAAGUAGUAACCCCACAAGAAAAUUCUACUCAUACAAGCGUUAACCUUACACCAGAACAUUACCGGAAAGAUUAAAAAAAGAGGAAGGAACUCGGCAAAUUUUAACCCCGCCUGUUUACCAAAAACAUCGCCUCCUGAAAUAACUAUAGGAGGUCCAGCCUGCCCAGUGACUAAGUUAAACGGCCGCGGUACCCUAACCGUGCGAAGGUAGCGCAAUCACUUGUUCUUUAAAUGAGGACUAGUAUGAAUGGCAUCACGAGGGUUAUACUGUCUCCCUCUUUCAAUCAGUGAAACUGAUCUUCCCGUGAAGAAGCGGGAAUACAUCUAUAAGACGAGAAGACCCCAUGGAGCUUUAAACUCAGUACCAACUGCCCCCUAAUACACCCUCCUAAUUAAGCAGACAUGACUACUAGUUUUCGGUUGGGGUGACCGCGGAGCAAAACAAAACCUCCACGAUGAAAGGAAUUAACCUCCUAAUCAAAGAGCUACAUCUCUAAGAAUCAACAAAUUGACAUUUAUUGAUCCAAUUUUUUUGAUCAACGAACCAAGUUACCCUGGGGAUAACAGCGCAAUCCAUUUCAAGAGCCCCUAUCGACAAAUGGGUUUACGACCUCGAUGUUGGAUCAGGGUAUCCUAGUGGUGCAGCCGCUACUAAAGGUUCGUUUGUUCAACGAUUAAAACCCUACGUGAUCUGAGUUCAGACCGGAGUAAUCCAGGUCGGUUUCUAUCUAUAAAGAGUUCCCCCUAGUACGAAAGGACCGGGGUAACAUGGCCCAUAUCUUAACAAGCCAUAGCUGCUAACUAAUGACCUCAACUCAAUUAGUGUUAGCCUACCAAUUUUUUCAAGAUAAGAAAU